UGGAAGGGGAGUGAGCAGACACACUCAGGAGGUGUCUUGAGAUUAUCAUCCGCUGAGGGUGGAGCUGAGGGUGGAAGGGGAGUGAGCAGACACUCGGGAGGUGUCUUGAGAUUAUCAUCCGCUGAGGGUAGAGCUGAGGGUGGAAGGGGAGUGAGCAGACACUCGGGAGGUGUCUUGAGGCUCAGGGAGUUAUCAAUUAUAGAAUGUUGUUGAGUUGGAGGAGGUGGCUGGUGGCCCAUCCUGUUUUUUAAAGUUUCAGCUGUGAGGUA
rnacentral:lncRNA from 1 species